rnacentral:lncRNA from 1 species
CCCUAUUUAUAACAAUGAGAGCCUUGCCACUGACUUCAGUAGGAUCACGAUUUUACCCCUAAGGUGCAGUUGUGCUUUCCUAGGAAAGCUAAUGUAUAAAAUACAGCCUCUGCCAGCACAUCAUCGAUGCAAUAGCAUAGAAAGAGGAUAACAUUGAAUGACAUCCAUAGCCAAUAAUAGCUGCUGUGAGCAUCCCGUCGAGCAGUGUGUUAAUGUUAGUCACCAGCUUCCUGGGUUUGUAUAAGAUUAUUUUCUUCAUAUUUGAAUGAGGUAGACUCAGGAUGAAUUGGGGUUCUCUGUGGAACUGUGCUUAGCAUUUGUUUUUUGUAAUUUUUUUAAACUCAUCAAAGAAUGUCAGAUGUGGUAAAGCUGCUUUGAUUUUUAUUAACGAAGCACACCAUUUAUAACUAAGUAAGUUUUUUAAGCCCUUUGAGGCACUGUUUAAUUUUUCAGCUCUCUUUUUUUUUGAUUCUAUCUAGUUCUGCAUUAGCUUCCUAUCCUCAGGUCUUACCUUUUGUAAAGCAGAUGUUGUCGUCCAUGCAUCUCUGGGAGGUAUUUUGUACCUCAUGAAAGAAGGAAAAAGAGCCUUGAUUCGGAUCCCAGUCUUCACUGACCAGCUGUAGGCAGUGUGCUGUGGACAUCAGCAACAUUACAGCGGGUCUUUGGCCAGUAUCUUGCCUACAAGUCAAGGAUUGUUGCUCCAUAUCUGCCAGAAAAAUCAGCAAAGCUAACAUUGGCAGACCAUAAUGAAGAAGCUCUCCAGCGAACUGAGAGCCUCUGGGCUGCAGAUCUACCACUAAAAACCACCAGUGGCUGUGAAAAGGGAGUGAAAAAUACAAAAUGAAAAAUCCUGCAUUGGCUGAAGGACGUGCAGAAUCCUUUUCCAUCUGUAGUUUUUGUGAUUGUUAAUACUUCCAUGAAAUGCUGCUGGACUGCCAUAGAGCAAAUUUCAAGCAAGAGAUGAACGCAUCUGGUUUGAUCUUCGAGCCUCUUUGAUAAGGUGCAGGUAAGAGUCAAUGUCAUCUCUGCACACUGUGGCAUGUUUUAAUAUCUGCUGUUACUUUCUGGGUUGGUUUUCGGUUUGAGUCCUUAAUUUAUGACCUUUUUUUUUUCAUUUAGCCAUUGAUUACACCCCAGAAGGUGUGAUUUGCUUGAACUACAAAAUCCCUGUUUGUUGUGGUGCUAAUAAGCAUUGUGCCUACUGAAAGCUGCAGCAGAAGAGAAAGGGAGGAGGCCUAACAGGCUUGACACCGUCUUUUGUCUGUGUUGCAGCAAGGGGAGAAGGAAAGAUGUCUAGGAAU